rnacentral:rRNA from 13 species
GGAGAGUUUGAUCCUGGCUCAGGACGAACGCUGGCGGCGUGCUUAACACAUGCAAGUCGAACGAAAGUUUUUAACUUUAGUGGCGAACGGGUGCGUAAUACGUGAGAAUCUGCCCUUAGGAGAAGAAUAACUGCUGGAAACGGCUGCUAAAUCUUCAUAUGCCGGGAGGUGAAAUAAUUUCGAUUGCCUAAGGAUGA